UAAACAUGUAGACAUAUAUACGAUUCUUUAUGCAGUUAUAAAAACAUAAGGUCUCUUUGCCUCAGGAUAUGAUUUCUCUUAUAGCAACAGGUAGCAAAGGCUCCUGUGUCCUCUCUCUCCCCUUACCUCCUCCCCUUCAGCUCCUCCUGACAAAAUGCCGAUUUAAAAGGUCAGCCUGUUUGUGUAAAUAUUGUGGGUUUCUUAACAAAGACUGCUGCACAUCAAGCCUGCGAUAACUGUCGAAUAGACUUGGGAUUCAAGACAUUCAGUAAGGGUCUUGUCCAUUUUCCAAGACCGAUUAAAAACUCGGAGAAAACAAAGGACAGACGUGGUGUGUGAGUGGGACGGACCAACAGCACAGGGGCAGCAGCACCGUCACGGCAGCGUUUGGUACUGCAAUGUCCAUCGAAUGGUAUUGCAUGUGUGGGAGAGAGACACACGAAAUGGAUAAGAAGUGAUUUGCUAAUGUGUACUAAUGCCUUUCUGCUCUUUCCUUCAGGUUUGUUCUUCUCUCUAGUGAUGUCCUAGGCUGAACUCGCUUUGCAGCUCGUUCACACCAAAGCUAGCUUUAAUCAGCCGAGGAGGAUUUUUGGGUCUGGCCAAUCUCACCCUCCUAUAAAAGAGAUUGACUUCAUUAGUCUUCGGCUCAGACACUUCACAAUGAGUUCUUGUCUUGCAGCAGUCCAGGUUGAGUCGUUGUGGCACACAACAGUUGUCCUCUCCAGCUGGCAGGUGAGUGGUUUGGAGGAUCUUGGAGAAGGCACUGUACUGAAGAGAGCACCAUUCCUACUCAUGGACAUCACAACACUCACGUGAAGUCUGCAGUUACAGGAUAAAGGGAAACAGCAAUAGCCUUUUGUGUCUUUUGCUGCCUUAUGUUGAGAAACUUUUAAUUAUUUUGAUAUGAAGCUUCUGUUUUCUGGUGGGUUUCUGUUUAGAAGAGGGCUGUGGUAAAAUACUUACACUUCCUAAAUUCCUGCACAAAGAAAUUUCAAGUGCAGUCUCUUCAGAGUGCAGGUGUUAGACAAUGGAAAAUAAAUGUGUAGAUUUAGAAAUUAGGAAAUAAUGCUGUUGCUUGAAAGUCUACUGUCUUAGCAAAGUUAUGGAGGGAGAAAAACAUGACUAUGAAUGCACAUGCUUCAGUUCAGUCAGACAAAAUGUAAUUUUGAUAUAACUUUCAGGAUUAAUUCUUUCUCUGGAUACUGUUAUUAUGAGCUAGUCAGAAAAGGAACAAAAAAGCAUCUGUGCAUACAAGACAGCACAAAAUUUCCAUAGAAGAUCCAGCCUCUCUAGAAGUCCAGGAUUUAGCUGAGAUUAAUUCAGAUAUCUUUAAAUUUUCGGUUUCUCUCACUAUGUCAGACAGCAUAUACUACAUCUGGAUAAAACUGCAGCUGCUGCUUUCUUUGUUCUUUUAAGCAUGUUAUAUUUUUGUAGAGCUACAGAACAUGGCAGAGUACUGAAGGAGAGGAUAAAAUAUGCUUGAGGAUGCUUGAGGUUAUCAUCUGCACACACUGCAGUAAAGGAUCUAGUCCUAAAGUGCAAUGCUAAGCCCUGUACUGGUCACCUAAUUAACCAUGAAUGCUAUUCAAGUGCAGCAAUGUCAAUUUAUGUCUUGCUUCUUAUAUACUGAUAGGCCUGGGAAUGCUGGAAAUAAAUAUCAUCUUUAAGGUUGGAUUCCAAUAUUUUCCAUUUGCUCUGCAAACUGUUAAAGUCCAUUUGACCAAAAAAAGGAUAUAAAAAGACACAUGCACCAGUUUUGUUGUUUGUUCACACAUUGUAGAAGAACAAUAUUCUCUUUCUUUUACUUCUCCCAAGAAGAUUUAGAGAGUCACUGACAUUAGUAAACAAAUAAAAGAGAGCCAUAAAGAUUCUUCAUAGUUUUCUUGCCUAGAACUUUUAAAAAAGAAAAAGAAUUAUCAUUGACAUUUCCUUGCAAAAUUAUAUAGGUGUGGGAGCUUAGGGUUGUGAUUUGUUUCUCUUAAAAAUAAAAGUGGCUGUGAGGAAAUGAUACUAUGUUCUUUAAAGUUAUUUUUAAGGCUAUUACCCUUUCCAUUUGUGAGAACUUUGGUUCUCUCUCUCCAUUUACUACAGUAUUUAUUGAAUCCUCAUUUCUCGCACCUUCUCUGUUGAGGUUUGUAAGAAUUCUCAGA